rnacentral:sRNA from 1 species
UAUCAAAAAGUAGUAGAAAGCCUACAAUUUGUAUGCAGUGGAUUUUCAGGGUUUUGUCUGAUAUGUAGAAUAAUCCAUAAACGAUCGGUAGGUGUUUGUAACACUCAGGAAGCAACAAAACCCUGAAAAUCCACUGCAUACAAAUUGUAGGCUUUCUGCUACUUUUUGA